rnacentral:rRNA from 1 species
AUUGAACGCUGGCGGCAUGCCUAACACAUGCAAGUCGAACGAGGGUAGCAAUACCUUAGUGGCGGACGGGUGAGGAAUACGUAGGAAUUUGCCCUUACGUGGGGGAUAGCCCGGGGAAACCCGGAUUAAUACCGCAUGAUCUCGAGAGAGCAAAGUCGGGGACCUUCGGGCCUGGCGCUUUUGGAGAAGCCUACGUCGGAUUAGCUUGUUGGUGAGGUAAUGGCUCACCAAGGCCGCGAUCCGUAACUGGUCUGAGAGGAUGAUCAGUCACACCGGAACUGAGACACGGUCCGGACUCCUACGGGAGGCAGCAGUGGGGAAUAUUGGACAAUGGGCGAAAGCCUGAUCCAGCAAUGCCGCGUGUGUGAAGAAGGCCUUCGGGUUGUAAAGCACUUUAGGCUGGAAAGAAAAAGCUUUGGCUAAUAUCCAAAGCCUUGACGGUACCAGCAGAAUAAGCACCGGCUAACUCUGUGCCAGCAGCCGCAGUAA